rnacentral:rRNA from 1 species
UACGUAGGGUGCGAGCGUUGUCCGGAAUUAUUGGGCGUAAAGAGCUCGUAGGCGGCCUGUCGCGUCGGAUGUGAAAGCCCGGGGCUUAACCCCGGGUCUGCAUUCGAUACGGGCAGGCUAGAGUGUGGUAGGGGAGAUCGGAAUUCCUGGUGUAGCGGUGAAAUGCGCAGAUAUCAGGAGGAACACCGGUGGCGAAGGCGGAUCUCUGGGCCAUUACUGACGCUGAGGAGCGAAAGCGUGGGGAGCGAACGGG